rnacentral:rRNA from 1 species
UCUGGUUGAUCCUGCCAGAGGUUACUGCUAUCGAGGUUCGACUAAGCCAUGCGAGUCGAAUGUAGCAAUACAUGGCGUACUGCUCAGUAACACGUGGACAACCUGCCCUUAGGUUGGGUAUAAACCCGGGAAACUGGGUAUAAUCCCCUAUAAGUCUCGGCUGCUGGAAUGCACCGAGAUUAAAAGCUCCGGCGCCUAAGGAUGGGUCUGCGGCCUAUCAGGUAGUAGUGGGUGUAGCGUACCUACUAGCCUACGACGGGUACGGGUUGUGAGAGCAAGAGCCCGGAGAUGGAUUCUGAGACACGAAUCCAGGCCCUACGGGGUGCAGCAGGCGCGAAAACUUUACAAUGCUGGCAACAGCGAUAAGGGAACCUCGAGUGCCAGGUUACAAAUCUGGCUGUCGAGAUGCCUAAAAAGCAUUUCAUAGCAAGGGCCGGGCAAGACCGGUGCCAGCCGCCGCGGUAACACCGGCGGCUCGAGUGGUAACCGUUAUUAUUGGGUCUAAAGGGUCUGUAGCCGGCCGGAUAAGUCUCUUGAGAAAUCUGGCAGCUUAACUGUCAGGCUUUCAGGAGAUACUGUCUGGCUCGAGGCCGGGAGAGGUGAGAGGUACUUCAGGGGUAGGGGUGAAAUCUUGUAAUCCUUGAAGGACCACCAGUGGCGAAGGCGUCUCACCAGAACGGACCUGACGGCAAGGGACGAAAGCUAGGGGCACGAACCGGAUUAGAUACCCGGGUAGUCCUAGCCGUAAACGAUACUCGCUAGGUGUCGGCCACGGUGCGACCGUUGUCGGUGCCGUAGGGAAGCCGUGAAGCGAGCCACCUGGGAAGUACGGCCGCAAGGCUGAAACUUAAAGGAAUUGGCGGGGGAGCACCACAACGGGUGGAGCUUGCGGUUUAAUUGGAUUCAACGCCGGAAAUCUUACCGGGACCGACAGCAAUAUGAAGGCCAGGCUGAAGACUUUGCCGGAUUAGCUGAGAGGUGGUGCAUGGCCGUCGUCAGUUCGUACUGUGAAGCAUCCUG